rnacentral:rRNA from 1 species
UGGUGGGGGUAAAGGCCUACCAGGCGACGAUCGGUAGCUGGUCUGAGAGGAUGACCAGCCACACUGGAACUGAGACACGGUCCAGACUCCUACGGGAGGCAGCAGUGGGGAAUAUUGGACAAUGGGGGCAACCCUGAUCCAGCAAUGCCGCGUGUGUGAAGAAGGCCUGAGGGUUGUAAAGCACUUUCAGUGGGGAGGAGGAUUGUUUGUUUAAGAGAUGAAUGAUUGGACGUUACCCACAGAAGAAGCACCGGCUAACUCCGUGCCAGCAGCCGCGGUAAUACGGAGGGUGCAAGCGUUAAUCGGAAUUACUGGGCGUAAAGGGUGCGUAGGUGGUUAUGUAAGUUAUGUGUGAAAUCCCUGGGCUCAACCUGGGCAGGUCAUAUAAUACUGCGUGAAUCGAGUGUGGGAGAGGGUGUUGGAAUUUCCGGUGUACCGGUGAAAUGUCUAGAGAUCGGAAGGAACACCACCUGUCGAAGGCGGCGACCUGUCCUAACACUGACACUUUAAGCACUAAAGCGUGAGGAGCACAUACGAUUACAUACCCUGGUGUCUCCGCACUGUUAACGAAGUUGCCUAGGUGUUGG